UUGUGCCUCGUUUCCAGGGACUGGAGGGGUCCCAGAUAUUGCCUGUGGCUCCAGGGGGCUCGUCAGCUCAGCCUGCCCACAAACGCCUGGCUCAGAGACCUCAGCUCCACCCUUUCCUUCUGUGCCGAGCUCUGUGCUGUUCCCACUGACAUGCAGUGAUUGACAUACAGGAAGCUAAAAACACCGGGGCAGACGUAGCCCGAAAGCUGCUCGGAAAUUGUUUUAAUGUUCUUUUUCCACCUAAGGAGAGCAUUUUCGUAAGACUCUGGAGAAUGUCUUCCCUGCCACCGAUUUCCUACGUGACUUGGAGCUGCUGCCCCGAAAAGCCAGCCACGAGUGAAAAUAAUGUGGGGAGAUGGAUCCAAGCUGGGGUGAAUGCCCCUUACUGCAGAACCAGCGUCUGCCCAAGAAGCUCGACAGCAAACCACGUGUCACCAUCUCUGCUGGAGAUCCAGGUCUCUCCACCAUCAGCGCCGAUAAUACCCAACACAUUUUGUGUUAGGUUUUAGGAACAUAUUCUCUGUUUCUGGUGUCUGGCACCCCAGUCAUCCUCCUCUUCUUUCUCUGCAUUUUGGAGGAAGCCCUACUAACACACAUAGAUCAGCACAGACAACUGGGUGACCUGACCAGCACAAGGACAGGGUCAGAGUCAUUAAUACCUGGCGCAGUGAGUAAGAAACUCACGGGGGACAAGGCAGAGCCACUGCCUGGCCUUGUAACACCUUAUUUACACAAAGCAGCUACAAGUCACAGAAGGCAAAGGAGAAAAAAGGCAUUUUAUGGAUGGGACGUUGCUGGACACAUCAGCCAGGCAGUGUGCUUGAGGAAAUACCCCCAGCCUCUUCUGAGCCCCCUAUGUGUGCAGGGGCCAGCUGUCUUUGUAGCCCUCCCCUGGAAACUGGGGACUUGCCUUUGCCCUGGCGGGUGGGUGAGCACAGUGAUGUGAUGGCUAGCGGAUGUUUAUUAGCUAGCAGUCUCUGAGCACUUCCCAUAUUUCACAUUGUACUGGAGAGGACUGAUUUAAUUAAGGAGCAGGGAAGAGAGUCAUCUCUUGUACUCGCCUUGGCAAAACAGUUUGCUUCUGUGCACCAGCUCUCCCAGCAGCCAGUGUCCCAUAGGGAUCGGUCUGGGAGCACGCAGAUCCCCUCUGCCUCAUUUUCUCAUUAAUUCCUAAUAAAAAGUGUCAGCAACAGCACAGCUCAGAGCCUCCCAGGCUCUCAGAGAACAUUUUAUUGUACUUAUCCCUGAAGUUUACACAUACACAAAGCACAAGAUCGGCGCUCACCGAGUUUAGACACUUCUCCAGAACAGCAAUGAGCAAGUUCUGUUGUUGUGAGCACUUCAGAGAUGCCAGGCAGAUAAAAUCAGUUUGUUUUUAAAACAAAGAUGAUAACGCUGGGCCAGAAAUGCCCUCCUUAGGGAAACAACAGAUAUGGAUCUGUUGUGGUCUUGAGGUCAUUUAGAGAUGAUGUCACAUCU